GACGAACGCUGGCGGCGUGCCUAAUACAUGCAAGUCGAGCGGACUUUCCGGAGUGCUUGCACUCCGGAAGGUUAGCGGCGGACGGGUGAGUAACACGUAGGCAACCUGCCCAUAAGACCGGGAUAACAUUCGGAAACGAAUGCUAAUACCGGAUAGACGGACUUCUCGCAUGAGGGGAUCGGGAAAGGCGGAGCAAUCUGCCGCUUAUGGAUGGGCCUGCGGCGCAUUAGCUAGUUGGUGGGGUAACGGCCUACCAAGGCGACGAUGCGUAGCCGACCUGGGAGGGGGGCCGCCAACACGGGGACGGAGACCCGCCCCAGCCCCCUGCGGGAGGCAGCGGGGGGGAUUCUCCCGAAUGGGCCGCAGGUCGGAGGGAGCAACGCCGGGGGGGUGGGGAGGGCCUUGGGGUCUAAAAGCUCUGUGGCGGGGAAAGAGGGGGAGGGGGAGAACCUCCCCUUGCAAGGACGGUACCUGAGAAGAAAGCCCCGGCUACCUCCGUG
rnacentral:rRNA from 1 species